rnacentral:tRNA from 5 species
GCCGGGAUAGCUCAGUCG